rnacentral:tRNA from 1 species
GAUCAGAUGUCCGAUUUAGGUGUUGGGCUUUUAACCUAAUUAUGGUGGGAUACUGCCUCUGAUUA